GGUGGCUGGAACCUAAGUCUUUGAUUCUUUUUAGUCUUCAAUGGAAUCCCCUACCGGUAAAGGUUGAUCAAAAGAUAGAAAUGUCACAAAAUCGUUAUUGCAAUAUUGGCAACAAUGAUUAUGGUAUAUAAUAGCAGCUUUUGGAAACUAAAGGUAAUGGAAGCUUAAAAAGAAGAGCUAGUUAUGGAGAAAAGUGGUAAAGUGGAUGAGAAGAAUAUUUAAGGUGUCAAAUUUACAUUCCUUUGAAAUCAAUAGUAUUUCUCCCUCUUUAUCAAAUGAUGUUUUCUAGUUGCAGAAUGGAUAUGUUUCUGUAUGAGUCAAGCAAAGCACAUUCGUUUCUAGAUUCAUUAGAAGUGUUGUUCAGUUUUUAUUCUUAAAUGGUUUGAAUCAAUGGCUAAUUAUUAAUGUAAUUCUUUUCUACAUUCUCAUUAGCUCUGUAAUAGAAUAGGCAUAGUCCCUCUUUAGAUAAGUGCUUUGUCUGGGUUGUUAUUAUUUUUUCCUAAUAAUAUAUUGAAUUUUAAUUUGUAUUAUUUCAUUUAGGAAUACAUGUACGUUAUUAUUAUAAUUUUGUUUUUAACAAAGAUUAUUAUGUAUUUUAACGAUGGGUAAAAAUAAUAAUUAUAAAAAAGAUAUUGGUUGACUUAUGGCAUGUUUCCUUAUAAAAUCAUGUCAAAGUCAGUUGAAAUAAUAACAAUAAAAAA